rnacentral:rRNA from 1 species
GGGGCCCGCACAAGCGGAGGAACAUGUGGUUUAAUUCGAUGAUACGCGAGGAACCUUACCCGGGCUGAACUGCAGCGGAAGGAUACAGAGAUGUUGACGUCCUUCGGGACCGCUGUGGAGGUGCUGCAUGGUGUCGUCAGCUCGUGCCGUGAGGUGUCGGCUUAAGUGCCAUAACGAGCGCAACCCCUUUCAUUAGUUGCCAUCACUUCGGGUGGGCACUCUGGUGAUACUGCCACCGUAAGGUGUGAGGAAGGUGGGGAUGACGUCAAAUCAGCACGGCCCUUACGUCCGGGGCUACACACGUGUUACAAUGGGUGAUACAGAUGGCCGGUUCACGGCAACGUGGAUCAAAUCUUGAAAGUCAUCCUCAGUUCGGAUUGGGGUCUGCAACCCGACCCCAUGAAGCUGGAUUCGCUAGUAAUCGCGCAUCAGCCAUGGCGCGGUGAAUACGUUCCCGGGCCUUGUACACACCGCCCGUCAAGCCAUGAAAGCCGGGGGCGCCUGAAGUCCGUGACCGCGAGGGUCGGCCUAGGGUGAAACCGGUGAUGGGGCUAAGUCGUAACAAGGUAACCUA